UACGGAGGGUGCAAGCGUUAUCCGGAUUUAUUGGGUUUAAAGGGUGCGCAGGCGGGACCUUAAGUCAGUGGUGAAAUCCCUUCGCUUAACGAAGGAACUGCCAUUGAUACUGAGGUUCUUGAAUCUAGUUGACGUUAGUGGAAUGUGUCAUGUAGCGGUGAAAUGCUUAGAUAUGACACAGAACACCGAUCGCGAAGGCAGCUAACGAAGCUAGUAUUGACGCUCAGGCACGACAGCAUGGGGAGCAAAC
rnacentral:rRNA from 1 species